rnacentral:SRP_RNA from 1 species
CCGUGCUAGACGGGGAGUUGGCGGUGCCCUGCACCUGCAAUCCGCCUUAGCAGGGUCGAACUCCCGCCCCCGGUGGUGAGCUGUGGAGCUUGCCCGAAGCAAGUGGCGUUGAAGGUUGGGUUCUGCGCAACGGGAGCCUGUGAACCCCGUCAGGUCCGGAAGGAAGCAGCGGUAAGCAGAUCUUCUCGUGUGCCGCAGAGGUUCCUGGCCCGAGCUAACUGCUCCGGUUCCAUCCGGAGCCAGCCAUCAAAGGCGGGUGCACGG